rnacentral:rRNA from 1 species
GAUGGACGCUGGCGGCGUGCCUAAUACAUGCAAGUCGAGCGAACAGACUAUGAGCUUGCUCCUCUGACGUUAGCGGCUGACUUGUGAGUAACACGUUGAUAACCUACCUAUAAGACUGGUAUAACUUCGGGAAACCUGAGCUAAUACCCUAUAAUAUCUUGAACUUCAUGGUUCAAUAGUGAAAGACUGUUUUGCUCUCACUUAUAUAUGGAUCCGCGCCGCAUUAGCUAUUUGGUAAGGUAACGGCUUACCAAGGCAACUAUCCGUAGCCGACCUGAGAGGGUGAUCGGCAAAACUGGAACUGAGACACGGUCCAGACUCCUACGGGAGGAAGCAGUAGGGAAUCUUCCGCAAUGGGCAAAAGCUUAACGGAGCAAGGCGGGGGGAGUGAGGAAGGUCUUGGGAUGGUAUAACUCGGUUAUUAGGGAAGAAGAAAGGUGUAAGUAAAUAUGCACGUCGUGACGGUACCUAAUCAGAAAGGGACGGCUAACUACGUG